rnacentral:rRNA from 1 species
AAUCUUGCGCAAUGGGCGAAAGCCUGACGCAGCAACGCCGCGUGGAGGAUGAAGGCCCUUGGGUUGUAAACUCCUGUCGGCUGGGAAGAACUCGUACGAUGCUCAUACCAUCGUGCGUUGACUGUACCAGCAAAGGAAGCCCCGGCUAACUCUGUGCCAGCAGCCGCGGUAAUACAGAGGGGGCUAGCGUUAUUCGGAAUUACUGGGCGUAAAGAGUUGCGUAGGCGGUUAAGUAAGUGAAUAGUGAAACUGUGUGGCUCAACCAUGCACCCAUUAUUCAAACUGCUUUGACUAGAGAAUGGAAGAGGUUGCUAGAAUUCCUAGUGUAGGGGUGAAAUCCGUAGAUAUUAGGAGGAAUACCGAUGGCGUAGGCAGGCAACUGGUCCAUUUCUGACGCUCAGGCACGAAAGCGUGGGGAGCGAUC